rnacentral:rRNA from 1 species
GUCCGGAAUUAUUGGGCGUAAAGGGCUCGUAGGCGGUUUGUCGGGUCGGGGGGGAAAACCUCGGGCUUAACUCGGGGCUUGCUUUCGAUACGGGCAGACUAGAGGUAUGCAGGGGAGAACGGAAUUCCUGGUGUAGCGGUGAAAUGCGCAGAUAUCAGGAGGAACACCGGUGGCGAAGGCGGUUCUCUGGGCAUUAUCUGACGCUGAGGAGCGAAAGUGUGGGGAGCGAACAGG